AAGUCAAGUGAGAUUUGCUAAGUUUAAACAUAUCAAUAAACAUAGGAAAAGAAUCUUACUAGGAUUCCCUUAGUAACGAUGAGUGAACUAUAAAUAGCCCAACUUGAAAAAUGGGUGCCUUUGAUGUUCGAAUUAUAGUUUGGAGAACCAUCUUCAGUGGUAAACAAGCCCAAGUCCGCUAGAAAGGGGUGCCAAAGAGAGUGAGAGUGCCGUUGUGCCUGGACUAUAUUAUACCAUGAGGUGCUGCCUGUAAGUCAGGUUGUUUAGGAAUGAAGCCUAAUUGGGCAUUAAAUUUUGUCCAAGGUUGAAUAUAGAUGAGAGACUAAUAACGAACAAGUAAUGUGAGGGAAAGAUGAAAAGGAUUUUAAAAAAAAGUCAAAGAGUGCUUAAAAUUGUUGGUAGGGAAGCAAAUAGAGGUCAAUGAUGUGCCCCAGUUAGAUGUGGAAUAGUAAGAGCUGAUUCAUUGAUCGGCUUGAGGCAUGGAUUGAUGCAAGUCACAGAGGUGGCCUAAGCCUAGGCUUUUUUUAUGUCCAUGAAGACAUCGUUGGCAUAAUCAUGGAAUGCAGCACAUGCCAUCUUUGUGUUCCUCGACACCAUUGUGCUCUCGACAUUAGCCUAUGGGCUCCCCAUCCAACCCAUCUUGAAAUACAGACCAAAGAGUCUAACAUGUGUGCAAGUAAACAGGUAAGGAAACCCACAAGGCACAAGGAAGUUGAUUGGCAGGAUCCCUCAUAGGUGCACCACCGACCAACCUUGAUCUUUUGAAAAAGGUUCGAGUGUAAGCAUGCCUAUUAGGGCCAAAAAGAUGGUGAACUAUGCUUGAGCAGGGUAAAGCCAAAGAAAACUCUGGUGGAGGCCCGUAGUGAUACUAAUGUGCAAAUCGUUCAUCUGACUUGGGUAUAAGGGCAAAAGACUAAUUGAGCCAGUCAAUAGUUAGUUCCCUUCGAAGUUUCCCUCAGGAUAGUUGGAGCCUUUAGCGAGUUCCAAUGGGUAAAGCCAAUGAUUAGAAGAAUUGGGGGCAUAUUGCCUUUGGCUUAUUCUCAAACUUUAAAUAGGUAGGAUGGUUUGGCUACUUCAUUGUGCCAUUCCAUGAAAUCGAGAGCCCCAAGUGGGCCAUUUUUUGUAAACAAAACUAGAGAUGCUUGAUGAACUAGAAACUAGGUUACGAUGCCUAACUAUGCACUAACCUACAACCCACAAAUGGUGUUGGUUAAUUGAGACAAUAGGAUGGUGGUCAUAAAAGUUAAAAUCCACUAAGGAGUGGGUAAUGACUCACCUACCAAACCAACUAGCCCUGAAAAAUGGAUGGAGCUUAAGUGCAAGACCUAUACCCGACCAUCGGGGCAAGGGCUAGGCCCCAAUGAGUAGGUGGGCAUAGUGGUCACCACAAACCUAAAGUGUGAGCUUGGAUGGAAUGGCUGUCAAAGUAGAUCUUAGUGGUAGUAGCAAAUAUUCAAAUGAGAACUAUGAAGGCUGAAGAGGGAAAAGGUUCCACAUGAACAAAACUUGCACAUGGGUUAGUCGAUCCUAAGAGACAGGGGAAGCCCAUAAGAUAGUGCAUCUGGCAUGAUCUUUAAAAGGGAAUUAGGUUAAAAUUCUUGAAUUGAGAUGUGCUUACUAACAGUAGCAUUAGAAAGUUUAGAGAGAUUCAUAGGUGCCAUAGGAAGAGUUAUCUUUUCUGUUUAAUGGCCUACCCUUUAGAAAUAGCUCAAUUGAAAGUAGGGUCCAGUGAUUAGAAGAGCACCGCAUGUCAUGUGGUGUCUGAUAUGCCCUUGGCAGCCCUUGAAAAUCUAGAGGAUUGAGUGCUGUCUAUGCUCAAUCGUACUCAUAACCACAUUUAGUCUCCAAGGUGAGCAGCGUUUGGUUGAUGUAAUAAUGUAGGCACAGGAAGUUGGCAAACUGGAUUCAUAACCUCAAGAAAAGGAUUGGCUUUGAAGACUUGGCAUGAGGGUCCCAGUUUCAAACCUAUUGACUACUGAUGCACUGGGAACAAACUGGGAAUGGCUCCCUCUUGGGCCUUCCCUAGGUGAUGAACUGUCGACUUAGAAUUGGUAUGGGCAAGGGGAAUUUGACUAUUUAACUAAAACAAAGCAUUGCGAUGGUCCCUGCGGAUGCUCAUGCAAUGUGAUUUUUGCCCAAUGCUCUAAAUGUCAAAAUGAGAAAAUUUAGCCAAGUGCGAAUAAAUGGUAGGAGUAACUAUGACUCUCUUAAGGUAACCAAAUGCCUCAUCAUUUAAUUUGUGAUAUGCAUGAAUGGAUUAAUGAGAUUCCCACUAUUCCUGUCUACUAUCUAGUGAAACCACAACUAAUGAAUGGGCUUGGCAGAAUCAAUGGGGAAAGAAGACUCGGUUGAGCUUGACUCUAGUAUGACUUUUUGAAAUGACUUGUGAGGUGUAGCAUAAGUGGGAGCCAUUGGGUGAAAUUGAAAUACCACUACUUUUAAUGUUAAGUUACUUAUUCUGUGAAUCUAAGGUGGGUCAUGACCCUUUCUUUUGGACUCAAGGUUGACCUCAGUUGAUUGAUCUAGGCAAAAAGCAUUGUUGGGUAAGGAGUUUGGUUAGGGUGGCACAUCUAUUAAAAGAUAACUCAAGUGUCCUAAGAUGAGCUCAAUGAGAAUAAAAAUCUUGUAUGGAACAAAAGGGUAAAAGCUUGUUUGAUUUUGAUUUCCAGUAUGAAUACAAACCAUGAAAGUGUGGUCUAUCGAUCUUUUAGACCUUCAAAAUUUAAAGCUAGAGGUGUCAGAAAAGUUACCAUAGGAAUAAUUAGCUUGUGGCAGCCAAGCAUUCAUAUCAACGUUGCUUUUUGAUCCUUCGAUGUCGGCUCUUCCUUUCAUUAUGAAAUAGAAUUCACUAAGUCUUGGAUUGUUCACCUACUAAUAAGAAACAUGAGAUAGGUUUAGACCAUCAUGAGACAAGUUAGUUUUACCCUAUAGACAGCAACGUUGCAAUAGUAAUUCAACCUAGUAUAAGAAGAACUAUUGAUUUGCACAAUUGGUCAUCGUGCUUGGUAGAAAAGCCAGUGGUGCAAAGUUAUCAUGCGCUGCAUUAUAAUUGAGCACCUCUAAGUCAAAAUCUAGGCUAAAAGUGACACACAUGCCCAUCACCCAAUUGCUGACCCGUAAUAGAGGCCCAUGGCCCUCAAGGGCACAUGUUGUAGGUGUAGCCUUUAUGGCGGACAAGCCAUGUGGGCCUCUUUGGAGCUCAAUCCCCACUGAGUGGUAGGUAGAAUCCUUUUCA
rnacentral:rRNA from 1 species